AAAAAUAUUCAACGAUGGAUAUCUUGGUUCCCAUAUCGAUGAAGAACGCAGCGAAAUGCGAUACGCAAUGCGAAUUGCAGGAACGCGAGUCAUCAGAUCUUUGAACGCAACUGGCGCCUACUAACAAUAGGCAUGUUCGGCUCAGUGU
rnacentral:rRNA from 1 species